AGAGUUUGAUCCUGGCUCAGAACGAACGCUGGCGGCAUGCCUAACACAUGCAAGUCGAACGAACCCUUCGGGGUUAGUGGCGCACGGGUGCGUAACGCGUGGGAAUCUGCCCUUUGGUUCGGAGUAACAGUUAGAAAUGACUGCUAAUACCGGAUGAUGACUUCGGUCCAAAGAUUUAUCGCCAGAGGAUGAGCCCGCGUAGGAUUAGGUAGUUGGUGGGGUAAAGGCCUACCAAGCCGACGAUCCUUAGCUGGUCUGAGAGGAUGAUCAGCCACACUGGGACUGAGACACGGCCCAGACUCCUACGGGAGGCAGCAGUGGGGAAUAUUGGACAAUGGGGGAAACCCUGAUCCAGCAAUGCCGCGUGAGUGAUGAAGGCCUUAGGGUCGUAAAGCUCUUUUACCCGGGAUGAUAAUGACAGUACCGGGAGAAUAAGCUCCGGCUAACUCCGUGCCAGCAGCCGCGGUAAUACGGAGGGAGCUAGCGUUGUUCGGAAUUACUGGGCGUAAAGCGCACGUAGGCGGUUAUUCAAGUCAGAGGUGAAGCCCGGGGCUCAACCCCGGAACUGCCUUUGAAACUAGAUGACUAGAAUCUUGGAGAGGUCAGUGGAAUUCCGAGUGUAGAGGUGAAAUUCGUAGAUAUUCGGAAGAACACCAGUGGCGAAGGCGACUGACUGGACAAGUAUUGA
rnacentral:rRNA from 1 species